UACGGGAGGCAGCAGUGGGGAAUCUUGCACAAUGGAGGAAACUCUGAUGCAGCGAUGCCGCGUGAGUGAAGAAGGCUUUUGGGUCGUAAAGCUCUUUCGUCGGGGAAGAAAAUGACUGUACCCGAGUAAGAAGGUCCGGCUAACUUCGUGCCAGCAGCCGCGGUAAU
rnacentral:rRNA from 1 species